rnacentral:lncRNA from 1 species
GCGUUGUUGAUAUUCUGUCCUGGAUUUUCACUAGUCAUGAUUAAUGCAUCUAGUAGGCUUUUAUUUUAGCAAACGAUGUAUACCCAUUGGUGACCUUCUGCUGUUGUUUUUAAUAUGGUCGGGUUGUUGUCUCUUUGACACAUUCCCCAUUUCCAUUCUCAAUUUAAUACUAUUUCAAAUGGGUAGGCCUUGGUAAGACCAAAAUGUUCCACAGUUUAAUUUUUCUCGUAUUUACAGCAUUUAAAAGGUAGGGGUCAAUGCGUCAUCUGACAAAGUCUUGGUGAAAUUGACCGUUUCAUUUUGUGUUUUAGAGUAUAUUGAAUAUAACCUGUUUUCAGUACCCCGAAAAACUGUCGAAUUACUGUCGAAAACACUAGUAGGUAUAUAUCAUUGCGUUGUUUUUUUGCACAUGUUGUAUAGAAAUACCCAUGACUGUUAAAAUGCAUAGCAGAAACAUAUUCUUUUAAGAAAUCCGAAAUAUAAUGGAAAUACUCAUAGCCUGAAUGUAAUUAUUUGUUUUAUUAACUACUGAUAAGGCGAAAAUUCUGGCCAACUCAGAUAACACUUUUUUUUCAAACUUAGCCUGGAAAAUAAUUUUGUCGUUUAAUUCCUGCCAAAAAUUGCUCAAAUAUUUAUUGGUUAUAAAUCUUGAAAAUCGCAAAGUUUUAUCAAAUCUGACAGUUUUAAAUUUUCAAAAUAUUUUAACAAGUUGGCUUGCAAGGUACAGGAGAAAAGGAUUUUUUUUUUUGGAGAAAAUAAUUUUCCCCCCUACAAAACUUUCUACAGACUAUAUUUGCAUUCUUUUUAUGUUCUUUUUUAAGUCAAAAUUUUACUGUCCCAAUACUAUUGUAAUAAAGUUUAUAAGGAAAACAGUUAUAUUCAGUAAGGGAAGUGUACCAUUUGGGGGCCAAUUUACAAUUAUAUUUUGGUUUAUCAUAUAUUUAGUACAAAAUGCAGCUAUUUUGUAUAUCUAAUAAAGGUUCGUUUUUCCAGUCUGUAUCACCUACCCUGUAUCGCAUACCCGUAUCGCAUAGCAAACCCGUAUCGCAUACCCCGUAUUGUAUACUUUUUUUUUUUUUUUUUUUUUAACAUAAAGUCAGUUUUUUGGUUUUUGUUUGCUUAAGGAAAUAUUUCCUCAAAAUAGGUCAAUUUUUUGAAUGACGUCAUUGUUUGGUAUGUAACGUCACGAACGUCAAGUUUCCAUAUUGUAUGUGACGUCCUGAACAUCAAGUUU